rnacentral:rRNA from 1 species
UGGGGAAUCUUGCACAAUGGACGAAAGUCUGAUGCAGCGAUUCCGCGUGGAGGAUGACGCAUUACGGUGUGUAAACUCCUUUUCUGGUGGAAGACGAAUGACGGUACACCAGGAAUAAGGGACGGCUAACUACGUGCCAGCAGCCGCGGUAAUACGUAGGUCCCAAGCGUUAUCCGGAUUUACUGGGCGUAAAGUGUCCGUAGCCUGAUAUGUAAGUCUGUUUUCAAAUACCUGGACUCAAUCGAGGGAAGGGAAUAGAUACUGCAUAUCUAGAGAUAUUUGGGGGUUAGUGGAAUUUCCGGUGGAGCGGUGAAAUGCGUUGAUAUCGGAAAGAACGCCAAAAGCGAAAGCAGCUAACUACAAUACAUCUGACGGUGAGGGGCGAAAGCUUGGGGAGCAAACG